rnacentral:lncRNA from 1 species
AUCAUAUAAAUAGUAAAAAUCAACACGCUACUGUAACACAUUCACGACUAAUUUUUUAAACACUUCAGUUUCUGAUUGAUUUAAAAAGUGACAGAAAUGUGGACAAAUAUGCCUGUAUUUGUAUACAUUCAUAUUUUAUUUUCCUUUUUAAAAGAAAUUUGCUAAUUUAGUUAAGUGACAAUCCCUUCAAAACGAAAUUCAU